rnacentral:misc_RNA from 1 species
CAGAAGGGAAUCCAGCAUCCUGCAGAGGAAAACGAGGUCAUGGAGUUGGCGAUGAAUGUCUCCAACAACGACAACAGGGGAAUCAGGAAGCAAAGCAAAGGUCAUAUGCAAGAUUUCAUCCAAAGACCAAAGUCAGAAGACAACCCGCAGCAUGCAUUUCGAACACAAGCAUCCUGACAUUUUUGCUGCUCCUUGCAAAGCCUAUCUCUGUCAAGGCCUUUAAGGAUGGCCAUUUGAUGCAGAACAUACUCCAAAGGAUUUUAGGGAGUACAUAUUUUUUAGGAAGAAAUAUGGUAAAUAUAAAAAGAGUUGUGAUUGUGUACUCCUAAUUGGAUUAGAUUGGGAUCCUUAAUUCAUAAUUAGAUAUUUAGGGUUACACAAACAUUAUAUAUAGGCAUAGUUACUUUCAGUUUUGCUAUGACAAUUACUUGAGAUUAAUACAACUUUGAGAAUUAGUUCUCUUUACAAGGAUUGGACCUUGUUUGAUCUUUGUUCUUGUUCUACAUCACCAUUACUAUCUAUCUCUUUCAAUGAAAUUGUUUUUUUAAUAAUUUGUCUAAAAAUU